UUAAAAACAUUGAUAAGAAAAGUAGAUUUUUGGAGACUGCACAGAGAGACUGCGUUUGGUGAAAGCAGGGGAGUUAAAGAUUAUCGAAAAUGGUCUUUGAGUUGAAUUUUCCGAUAUGUAGGAGAUUUCGGGUUCACCCGUUAUAGUGAUAGAGUAUGGAAGUACUUGAAGAGUGAUUAAUUGUGAGGUUAAUCAGAAUUAAGGUGGUAACACGGAUUUUAUAUCUCGUCCUUUUA
rnacentral:ncRNA from 1 species